rnacentral:rRNA from 1 species
AACCGCCACCGUCUCAGCCUGAAGGCGCCCGAUCUCGUCUGAUCUCGGAAGCUAAGCAGGGUCGGGCCUGGUUAGUAUCUUUGAUGGGAGACCACCUGGGAAUCCCGGGUGCUCGAGGCUU